rnacentral:rRNA from 1 species
AGUGAACGCUGGCGGUAGGCCUAACACAUGCAAGUCGAACGGCAGCACAGUAAGAGCUUGCUCUUACGGGUGGCGAGUGGCGGACGGGUGAGGAAUACAUCGGAAUCUACUUUUUCGUGGGGGAUAACGUAGGGAAACUUACGCUAAUACCGCAUACGACCUACGGGUGAAAGCAGGGGAUCUUCGGACCUUGCGCGAUUGAAUGAGCCGAUGUCGGAUUAGCUAGUUGGCGGGGUAAAGGCCCACCAAGGCGACGAUCCGUAGCUGGUCUGAGAGGAUGAUCAGCCACACUGGAACUGAGACACGGUCCAGACUCCUACGGGAGGCAGCAGUGGGGAAUAUUGGGCAAUGGGCGCAAGCCUGAUCCAGCCAUACCGCGUGGGUGAAGAAGGCCUUCGGGUUGUAAAGCCCUUUUGUUGGGAAAGAAAAGCAGCAGGUUAAUACCCCACUGUUCUGACGGUACCCAAAGAAUAAGCACCGGCUAACUUCGUG